UACGUAGGGGGCAAGCGUUGUCCGGAAUCAUUGGGCGUAAAGAGCGUGUAGGCGGCCCGGUAAGUCCGCUGUGAAAGUCGGGGGCUCAACCCUCGAAUGCCGGUGGAUACUGUCGGGCUAGAGUGCGGAAGAGGCGAGUGGAAUUCCUGGUGUAGCGGUGAAAUGCGUAGAUAUCUGGAGGAACACCGGUGGCGAAGGCGGCAUCCUGGACCGACACUGACACUGAGGAGCGAAAGCCAGGGGAGCAAACGGG
rnacentral:rRNA from 1 species